rnacentral:sRNA from 1 species
GUCCGGCCUGUUUACGCUGCAGCCAGGGGGCUGAAAGAGAGUCGCGGGCUUCCCUGUGUGACUGAGGCUGCGUGGAGGCACUGCCCAACAUGUUCGGCGACCUUCGGUCCACGUUUAUUGCCUUGAUGAUUGGGUCCUACGCCUCCUCGGCAGUCACCUUUCCAGGAAUCAAGCUCAUCUACGAUGCUGGUGUCUCCUUCAUCAUCAUCCUCGUGGUCUGGGCCGGCUGUUCCGGGCUGGUUUUCCUCAACUGCUUCUUUAACUGGCCCCUGGAGCCCUUCCCGGGGCCGGAGGACAUGGACUACUCGGUGAAGGUCAAGUUCAGCUGGCUGGGCUUCGACCACAAGAUCACAGGGAAGCAGUUCUACAAGCAGGUGACCACGGUGGGCCGGCGCCUGAGCGUGGGCAGCUCCAUGAGGAGUGCCAAGGAGCAGGUGGUACUGCAGGAGGGCCACAAGCUAUGCCUGUCCACCGUCGACCUGGAGGUGAAGUGCCAGCCGGAUGCCGCAGCGGCCCCCUCCUUCAUGCACAGCGUGUUCAGCCCCAUCCUGC